UAUCGGCAAGUAAAAAAACUCGAUUUAUUCUUUCACAUUUUACUUUUGUCAGCCAACCAGUUCAGUUCAACUGGCAAGUGGAACAAAAAAGCACGUGCCAAAACACGUGGAGCGCGCGCGAGGAGGAGGACUGGGUACGAGUCUAGCCGUUACGAACUCCUUGAAGCUAACUUAUUAGUAUCAGAUCUCUUUUGUGUUUAAGAUUAGAUUUGAGUAGCCCUGCAAGGACUAAAGCCAAAUGGCUCAGAGCAAUGACGGUAUCGAAUGGAAAGGCGAUCGAAGCGUAAUCCGGGUAUACGUGGACGGCUGUUCUUGGCACCAUGCAACUAUACAAGCAAGCGGUUGGACGUUUUCUGCACUACGGUCAAAUAUCAGGGAUGUGGCCAUUCCGCACCGUUGCCGUUUCUCCCUCUGAUGGCUGUAAACACGACACUUGGUUGGUUUAUACCUAGUUUACUAACGGUUAGAUUUACGACUUGAGCAUACAUAAAGCAAAGUUAAAGUUAUUUUGCGAAUGCUAGCUCUAGCUAUGGUCCGCCCUAGAUGUUACAGAUUUUGUCUUCUGCUUCUCCUCUCAGGCUCUGCACCAUUCACAAACCCAUGUCUGCUAAUUUGAUGGUCUUUUGCGUAGUAGAUAUAGCAAUUUACAAUGAAAUGAUAUAAUAUCUAAUAUGUACCAGACUCGUACUCAACUCGUACUCAACUCUACGACUAAGUACACGAUUUGCCGCUCUGGCACUAACCCCGUAUGUUCAUAUAUAGAACUAUUGAAUACACUACAUCCCUCCCCCCCUUAGAUAAAACUACAGCUGCAUAGGCACAGUCACAAACAAGAUUACAAGUCUAAACGCUGUGGUGGUCUCCUUGUUCUGUUAGAUCGUCUGAGUCCAGUGGUUGAUUCGGCUUGAGGUACUUCUGUUUGAGGUACUUACUUCUGUUUGUGGGCGCUGGUCCACAUUGGGUACUUCGUCAUCGUCCUGUAUCACUUGUUCCUCUUGGCUUGGUAAGUCUGGAAAGGUUAGCUCUUGUUCUGGUAAGUCGUCCUCUCCUGGCGUGGAUCCAGCUUCGUCUUCAUUACUCCUGCGACUGACGGAAAAUCUCUCCCUUAGAUGGUCAAUGUGUCGCUUAGCCCUUCGACCGUCCCUUAGAGUGCACAAAUAGGACAAUGGUCCAAGAACUUGUGCUAUCACUGCAAGAAGCCAAAGUGGUCCUGUUGCAAAAUUCCAGAGGUAAACUGUCUGUCCUGCUUGCAGGUUCCUGUUGCUGUGUCUUUGAUCAUGAUAAUGCUUCUGUUCCUCUUGCAUCUUGAGUACUUUUCCCGUCAGAUUCGACCGUGACAAAUCUAGAACGACCUUUGGUUUCCUUCCAAACAACAGCUCCGCGAGAGAUAUCUCUUGUAGAAUGAAGCAUAUUUGGAUAUGACAUCAAAAAAGUUUGCAAGUUCUC